UGGGGGAUAUUGCACACUGGGCGAAAGCCUGAUGCAGCGACGCCGCGUGGGGGAUGAAGGCCUUCGGGUUGUAAACUUCUUUUGCUCUGAACAAGGCGCACCAUGGGGAGUGUUGAGUGUAGGGGUUGAUUAGCGCCGGCUAACUACGUGCCAGCAGCCGAGGUAAUACGUAGGGCGCGAGCGUUGUCCGGAAUUAUUGGGCGUAAAGGGCUUGUAGGUGGCUGGUUGCGUCUGUCGUGAAAGCUCAUGGCUUAACUGUGGGUUUGCGGUGGGUACGGGCUGGCUUGAGUGCAGUAGGAGAGGCUGGAAUUCCUGGUGUAGCGGUGGAAUGCGCAGAUAUCAGGAGGAAUACCGGUGGCGAAGGCGGGUCUCUGGGCUGUUACUGACACUGAGGAGCGAAAGCAUGGGGAGCGAACAGG
rnacentral:rRNA from 1 species